AAGUUAUGAUGCGGGUAUUUCCUUAGAAAAUCUUUAAAUCUCUCCCAUGCUUUAAAUAAUGAUUUAGUAUCCAACUGUGCAUAAACUGUAAUUUCUUGACGGAACUU